rnacentral:rRNA from 1 species
AUAAUCCUAAGGGUACAACCGCAAGAACGAUUACUUCGCCACGCGGAAUGCGAGUGUGUGACUAAUUCCUGAGGUCUGCCUCUCCUUUCCUAACCCGCGUCGCUAAUUCUCGUCGCGAACUUCUCGCCGGAGGAGCAGAGGAGCUCACAAGAGAAGGCCAUGGGGCCACCGCAGCCAGCCAAGGGCAUCAUCAGCAUCGAGGCCUGCGCGCGGCCGAUCGCCGUCGACCACCGCAUCAGCCUUCCCUACUACUUCCGCAUCGCGGGCACCCUCCUCCGCCAGGCCAAGAUAUAUCGAGAUGAGAAGAACAUCCUCGACCUGUAUGUCAUCCUCCUGAGAUAUACGAGCUUGCUGUGUGAGACCAUCCCCAAGCACCGUGACUACCCCGUAUUCAAGUUGAGGGAAGCAGAGUUCGUCAGAAACGCCAACUCCUCUACACUCAUUGAUGUUGUCAAUGAGCUUGAGUCUCUGAAGCCAGUUGUGAAGCGGCAGCUCGUUGAACAUAACAGAAGGGGUAGCCCGGAAGCUAAUGGUCUGAAUGGAACCCAUGCUGCAAGUUUAAGGACGGAGAAGCAUCCUCCAACCACAUAUUCCACACAGCCAUUUGUAGGUUCAUUGCAAAAAUUCUACCCAGACGGGAGGCAUCACGUGGCAUCACGGACAAGUAUCCAAACUGAUAGGCAGAUCCGCAAACAAUUUGUAAAUCUGCCUUUUCCGAAAGAAGAGACACUGGCUAGACAUUCAAUAUUAGGGCCUAAUGGGCUUCAUGGACAAUGGAAUGGGCCUGUUGCUGCAGUCAAGGUCCAAUAUCCAUGCAAUCUUGAAUUUACACAAAGUGAUAUGACAAGUCUAGUGCCGGCUAUGUUGAACCAAGAUGGUCUGCAUGGUCCCAGUACCACAUAUCCUGAUAGCACUACAAAAGAUAACGAUGAUAUGCAAUCUGUUCUAUCUCUUGAUGAUGGUCGAUGGUCUGCACCAGCAGAAGAAUGCACCUCUACACCUUCUGCUAGUCUGGAGGGAGAAUUGUCCCAGUUGAAUAUCAGACAGCCUUCACCCCCGCCAGUCCUGGCAGAAGUACAUCCUGAUCGCGCACCCGCAAUUUCUCCAUCAAGAGUUGGUGAUCCAACACAAGGACUUGCUAUAUCAGAAACCGGUCGUUAUCAUAACUUGCAUGUUCCGGUGAAGUUGAUGGAGUGUUUUCUAAGGGUUGCUGAGGCGAACACUAAAAGAAGUUUAGAAACUUGUGGGGUUCUUGCUGGUACCCUGAAAAAGAGAACUUUUCAUAUUACAACCUUAAUAAUUCCAAAGCAGAAAUCUACAUCUGAUUCGUGUGAAGCUACAAAUGAAGAAGAACUAUUUGAAGUUCAGGACAAGGGCUCACUAUUCACCCUUGGUUGGAUUCAUACACAUCCAACGCAGUCCUGUUUCCUGUCCUCUAUUGACCUCCAUAAUCAUUAUUCGUACCAGGUCAUGCUACCUGAGGCAAUUGCAAUAGUUAUGGCACCUACCGACACAAGAAAAAAACACGGUAUAUUUCAUCUAACGGAUCCGGGUGGUAUUGGUGUGAUCCAUGAUUGCCCGGAGAGAGGAUUCCAUCCACAUAAAGCCCCUCUGGAUGGCUCACCAAUCUACGAGCAUUGCUCCCACGUGUACAUGAAUGCUGAUACAAAGUUUGAUAUGAUUGACCUCCGAGAACAGUGAGAGGUAUCAGUUUCAUUCUGUCAUAGUUUGGCGGCUGUACUUGCGGCAGUUGAGCAAAUUGUCUGCCUUGAUUUCUCUAGUGCGCUGAAGAAAUGCAGAUACUGAUUUAAGUGAUUGUACAUAGCUAUUGUGUCUAUAGAGAUAUGAUUGGUACAUCCGGGGAAAUUGAGGAUCUGUGGUGUAAUUCACCCCCUUUACCUCUGGGGAUAUACACUUUUGAGAUGAGAUGUAAGUAAUGGUCAAUCUCAUUUUGUGUAAGGUUAAUUGUAAAAGCAUCAUAUGUUUUACUCCAUUCUGAAAUAAGUUGAUCGCUAUCAAAAAAAGUUAGUUUUUAUCAUGCCUGUUUUGUAAUAUUAAUUUCAUGCCUGUAAGCCUGUAAUGCUGGAAUUUUGCCACCUCUGUAAUUUUUUUUACAACAAAUUCAUGGUGAACAGUUGCAUUUUC